UACGUAGGGGGCAAGCGUUGUCCGGAAUCAUUGGGCGUAAAGAGCGUGUAGGCGGCUCGAUAAGUCCGCUGUGAAAGUCCAGGGCUCAACCCUGGAAGGCCGGUGGAAACUGUCGGGCUAGAGUCCGGAAGAGGCGAGUGGAAUUCCCGGUGUAGCGGUGAAAUGCGCAGAUAUCGGGAGGAACACCAAUGGCGAAGGCAGCUCGCUGGGACGGUACUGACGCUGAGACGCGAAAGCGUGGGGAGCAAGCAGG
rnacentral:rRNA from 1 species